GCCCGGCAUGGCGGACCUGCGGUAGUUCCGUGGGCUGACGGAGAGGCCGAGGCUCAGCAGCCAGCGGAGCACGGGACGAGGCAGCUCCGGCUGCCGGAGGGCCAUAGCGUAGCGGGGCUGCACUCGUCGCCUCCUGGCGCGGCCGUCACGAGGCGGCCCACGCAGGAGGCGGAGCGCGUGUGUGGUGCGGGUUGUGUGAGGCGCCGCGUGGUAGCGGCUGUGUUUGUCCGCAGUGCCUUAUGGCAAGCCCGCGUGAUGUCACAGUUGGAUUCCAGCGCGAAAUGGAGAUGUUACGCGAUAUAUUAUGUCUUUUAGAAAUCGUAGGUUGCUCCAAAAGAAAUGCCUUCUGAUGAUGAAUGUCAGUGGGUGCCAUCUUUUCCGCAUGAAGGAAUUUGGUGACACGCUUCUGAGUCAUGGCCGUGUCGCACCUCGUGCCAGGCUGCCCCUCUGCUGCCGUCUGUCACGCAGCAACAAUGUAUCAUGGAAUAUUGGUGGGGAGGUUCAACCUCUGCUGCCGUACCACCAACAUCGGUCUCUGACCUCAUGUGCCAGCAUCAUAAAUAGGAGGCAUUGCUUUCAGAGCAUCUGUUCUUUAAUUUCUGACUAAGCGUGGCAUCGUGUUUUUUGGAAGAGCUUUACCAAAUGCUCAAGUUGUCUAUUUGGUUAGUAGUAUUUCUGGUACAUGGCAUGCGAAUGGGCUGAUCUGAAGGCCUGUUCCACAGUGGUCUUCCACAGCAACUGCCUGAGUUCCCAGUUUUGUUUGUUCCCAUCCAACCUCUCUCAGUUUGCUGAAGGGAUCCUAUUGUCAUAUUAUUAUCUGUUAGCAAAAGAUUUAAGAUUUAAAAGUAAGUAUUACCCAAGAUUCAAGUCACAAAAAUACCCCUGCAAGCUGGAUCUGGGUUAAUCUGCUUGUCUACUGCUCCAUAGAAUUAAGGAGAAAGUAGUACCCGGUAGCUCGCACCACUUAAGAGGAUCUUGUUUGCUCUUUGGAUGACUGCCCGAAUUAGUGGGAAUAGAUAGUGCAAAUGGCAUGACAGUGCAAAUCCACAUAGAUGAUGUAAGACAGCAGGGACUCUAAUGUCUAAAGCUAAACCAACAUCCUCUUUUUUUCUCAUGCAGCUUUUCCCAAGUCAAGUUUGAAAAGCACUCUGCACACCUGAAGAAAAUGAGUAUCUACUAAGCUGAGAAUGCUCUGAAGAACAUCUGUUAAAAUAAUUAUUAAAGUGACAUCUGAAAUUCAGUGAUGCCAGAUCCCACUCUGAAGUCUGUAUUGCAUCUCCACCCACCUUAUCUCCCUACCCUCACACAGAGACAUCAGCAGCUAGCUGCUAAAACCAUUCAAAUCUAAAUGCUUGUACCAUCUCCAUUAGAAUAAAAAUCUUUAAGCAAAAUACUGCAGAAGAAAAUUGUGCAAAUCAAGCUUGGGAAAAGCUUCCACAUUCCUACUGAUUUAUUGGUAAACAUAAUAACUAACCAUGAAAUACUGCAGAGAUGAAAAUAUGUUCAAAUAAACAUGCAGCAUUAAUAAACGUCAGAUUUGUUUUAAAAUAUUGUAUCGAGAUUGCUGCCUUCUGCUCUUCUACAACCUUGCUAAGUCUCUUAUUUAAAAAGCAUUAACAAGAAUAUAAAUGAAGACUGUUUUAAUUCAGCGUUGUCUGUGACAGCAGAAUUAGUAGUAUAGUCUAUUCCAAAACUGUUCAUUUAUUAAGUACCUACUGAUGUAGUUUCUGACAGAUCUGAGUAUGUUGAAUACAAAGCAUCUCUAACUUUAUUUACCCCUAGCCACGCUAGUCCCAAGUUCUCUGGCGUUCAUUUAGGAAGGGCAGCCUACAUAACUUUGUAAACUCUUAAUAAGGAAAGAAUAAAUAGACUAAAUAGAAGAAAUAGACUAAUUGUAUUAAUGGGCAAAGUUAAAAAUAAAUUAAUUACAAAUUAUCAUA